ensembl:lncRNA
UUUCAAAGUAGAUAUUCUAGUGGACAAAUUCAUUUACAUUGCUUCUGCAUGACCAUAUAUGCAUGUGUUUUCUUAGAACUGCUGUGUGGACACAGUGAGAGAUGGGUUUAGGGCUUAAGAGUAAGCUGUAUGGGCAACAGGUGGUCCACGGAGCCGUGUUGGGUGCAGAAGGGAGACACCUGGGGGGAAACAGAUGCCUGAGGAUGACCUGAGAGGCGCUGCUGCAGAAGCGCGAGGGCUCAUCUCAGCUGAUGAUGGAUUCAGUGUAUCGCUUCCAGGUCACCUUCCUCUUCUGCUCCUCUCCACAAGCUCCUACAGGUGCCCAGGGCUUUGUCACUCGCAUCUGACCUCUAACCUCCGACCUUAGUGAUAUCAGGACAAGUGGAUCAGGAUGCGUCUGUGCUGGCCUGAAUGCAUCAUGGAAACACUGCACAGUAGCCGAAUUGCUAAUAUAAACUCAUUAAUGCUAACAUUUGUAUAUUCUUAGAUUUAUUUAUAAAGAUUUGGACCGCAUGUAUUUUGAAUAACUACUUUUAGAAUAGCUUUUUUAGGAUCAGCUGUUAACAAACACCCUAAUAUAUAUUUCAAAAACGCAAACCAACCUCAAAUGUUCAGUUGGUUCAAUUUUGUAAAUCCUAAAUAAUUAUUGUCACAAAUUGGUCUUCCGUUGAAUUUUUUAUAAAUCAGAAAUCAAUAAACACAACUGCACAAAUGAGUCCUCCUCUCUU